rnacentral:rRNA from 4 species
GGUCACAUUCCGAACCCGGAAGCUAAGACUCUUUGCGCCGAUGGUACUGCAGGGGGGACCCUGUGGGAGAGUAGGACACCGCCGGAC